rnacentral:lncRNA from 7 species
AAACAGCCUGCACGCGUCAUCAUCUGUGGUUUUGCUCUUGGUUGGCCCCCAGCUGUCAUACCAUCAGGCGCAGCAAGGUGGGAGAAGAAACUGGCUUCCAAGAUGGGCGAGCAUGGAGGUGGUGGUGGUGGCAAUGGGAACCCGAGGUCUCUCGACUGGAAGCGCGAUUUUUUAUCGCUUCAGGGUGCAUUGUGGAUGCUCCUAUCUGAAGCUACACUGUUUCCGUGAGUUCAGAAUGAUCUGACUUAACUUGCCCUGUGCGUGCCCUGCAGCUGCUCCUUGUUCCGAGUUACUUUGUUUCGAAACGAUGCCGCUUAUAUAUAGCAAGCAAGCACUUCUCUCCACUGGCCAAUGGUGAAAAACUAAGCUAGUGCUUGCUCUGUGGGGAUCUUUACAAGUUCCGUUGUUAUAUCCUUUGUUGCUACUCGUGAAGUUCCUACAUUAUUUGCCAUGCCAAGUUCUUUUGCUCGCUAGCUUCCUGUGAAGACUGUACCAUGAGUUGUACCUUUGUUAUAAGCUAUAAUGUUUGUAAUUUGCUUCAUAUUAUGUGGUUGAUGAG